AAGUACUAUCCAGGAUAUUGUGCUGCAACAAUCUUAUCGUGCUUCAACAAACCCUGCCAAUCAAGACCACAUGAUUCAAGGUAUUUUAAAGUUUAAAAAUCUGCAAGCUGUAGAUGAAGUGGAUAAAUAUAGGAAUAAAGCCAUAAAAGGUAAGGAUAUUGUGUGGGAGGAAAAUACAAAACCGAAGGAUAAGAAAAAGGAUGGUACAGUCCA
rnacentral:lncRNA from 1 species